UGAGCCCGCAUAAGGAUGAAAAUGAAUUUUUGUCCAUAUGCUAAUGAGACCAUAUUGCAAAGUGAAAUUAGCAGAGUACGGAAAGACAUGUACAAUGACACAUUAAAUGGCAGUACAGAGAAAAGGAGUGCAGAAUUGCCUGAUGCUGUGGGACCUAUUGUUCAGUUACAAGAGAAACUUUAUGUGCCUGUAAAAGAAUACCCAGAUUUUAAUUUUGUUGGGAGAAUCCUUGGACCUAGAGGACUUACAGCUAAACAGCUUGAAGCAGAAACAGGAUGUAAAAUAAUGGUCCGAGGCAAAGGCUCAAUGAGGGAUAAGAAGAAGGAGGAGCAAAAUAGAGGCAAGCCCAAUUGGGAGCAUCUCAAUGAAGAUUUACAUGUACUGAUCACUGUGGAAGACGCUCAAAACAGAGCAGAGAUCAAAUUAAAGAGAGCCGUUGAGGAAGUGAAGAAAUUACUGGUACCUGCAGCAGAAGGAGAAGACAGCCUGAAGAAGAUGCAGCUGAUGGAGCUUGCGAUUCUGAAUGGCACCUACAGAGAUGCCAACAUUAAAUCACCAGCCCUUGCCUUUUCUCUUGCAGCAACAGCUCAGGCUGCUCCAAGGAUUAUUACUGGGCCUGCGCCUGUUCUCCCACCAGCUGCCCUGCGCACUCCUACGCCAGCUGGCCCUACCAUAAUGCCUUUGAUCAGACAAAUACAGACCGCUGUCAUGCCAAACGGAACUCCUCACCCAACUGCUGCAAUAGUUCCUCCAGGGCCCGAAGCUGGUUUAAUCUACACACCCUAUGAAUACCCCUACACGUUGGCACCAGCUACAUCAAUCCUUGAGUAUCCUAUUGAACCUAGUGGUGUAUUAGGUAUGGCUUUCCCAACGAAAGGCUAAGAAUUCAAGAACGGUCUUAACUGAACCCUCAUCAGAUCUGAAUUUAACAAAUGCUUAGUCUCAGCAGCCUCUGGGGGGGUGGGGGGAAGCUUAGCCUAGCAGUCAGUGACUUACUUGCACUUUUUGCACACUGAUAGAAAAUAAAAGUAUGUUAUUAAUUUGGUUUAGUCUGAAUCUUACAAAGUAACAGUAAUUUAUAAAGGAGUGUGUAGUAGUAUACUGACUGCUAAGUGUACUAUACUGUUUGCUUUACUAAUCACCUAAUUCAUUGCAGUUCAUACUUAUUGACUCAAAGUUUAAAACCACAAUCUGUAGGCUUUAAGAAUUGCUUUUAAACCUUUUUAAGUGAUAAACUCUGGAUGGUCUUAAGGUUAGCAAAUAAUUGUCAGUAUUAAACAUGGCAUUAUUUAAGUAGUCCUGCUGCAAGAAAGGCACUUCAGUGAAUAUGUGACUAGUAAAGCUUAAAUAUGUUUGGAUCUAAUAGAGUUCAUGAAAUACUGUAACCUGGGAUUGUAAAUGAAUGGAUGAAAUAGGUUAAGGCCAAGAUGUUUGAAAUGAAUGCAAUAUUAAUAGAUGCAUAUAUACGCAACAUAUUAUGGUUAAUUUUAAAACUACUGUGCCUUAACGUGUUUCUUAAAACGAAACUUUUGUAGUAAAUGAACAUUUGAAAUCCAUUUUGAUAAACCUGCUGUUAAUGUUUGUUUUCUUUUCCCCUGUGAAUGUUUUCUAACUUUGUCUUGGUAAUUGCAAUUUAACUAGGUGCGGUGGCUACUAAAGUUCGAAGGCACGAUAUGCGUGUCCAUCCUUACCAAAGGAUUGUGACCGCAGACCGAGCCGCCACCGGCAACUAACCUAUGACCUUCUGACCUCUGAACUCUUCACCCAAUGAUGACCUGACCAUGCCUGCCUGCUGAUCAGUUAACUGGUAAUCGCCUUUGCUUGCCUGUCGUCAGUGCAGCGAGCUGAGGCACUUGUCCGUUCGUCUUACCAUCUAACCAAACAAAAGACAAAGAAAUUGUUGUCCUCCAACUCAGCUUUUGGUUUUUUUUCUGUUUGGGUGAAAGUGGUUCUAGAACCUGCACUGAAUAGUAGUAAAGCAAUAAGGCCCAAUUCAUCCCACAGCACUGAUCAUCUUUUAAUGUCCCACCCUAAGCGAACGGUAAGAAGGCCUCACUUCAGAAGGGGAGACAGAUGGCCCUUACCUACUCAAUGACAGAGGCAGUUACUGUGAGAGACUUCUAGGAAUCUUUUCUUCUCAUAGCGAGUCCAGGCUCUCUGAAUGUACUGUGUGAUGAUGCAUCAUGCAUGAACCUUCGGUCAGGGAUGUCAUUGGUGAAGUGAUCUCAAAAAGUAUUCAAAAUUUGAUAUGCUGUUUAGUCACUACAGUGCCCUCAAAGGGCAGAAGUUGCAGCCUUUUUUAUAUUGCCUGCCAAAAUUUGAAGUAUUAGAAGUGUGCCAUGAGACAAAAACUUAAGGAAUUUUGAAAAGUAAUGCAAAGAACAAAACUGCAACACUAUUUUUAAAAAGAUAAAUAUCUGAGUUAAAAUUACUGAACCUUUAUUUUACACCUCCUUAAAAAAAUAUAUGAGAACAAGGUACAUGCAUUAUGUGUCACAUUACUGGGCAAACUGUUCAAAUAUUUUUUUUAAACCUCCCUGUAUAGAAAAAAAUCAUUAAGGAUGUAAAAGCCAUGCUUGCCUAUUUGCUGUAUACAUGUAAUGAAAUUGUAGAUAAAGUGUAGUGCAUUGAAACAAAUGAACAAAAAGUAGAUACUUUUACUAUACAAGGGUGCUGGUGCAGAAAAAAAUAUAUAUAUUUUUGGAAAUGUAGCAUUUUAUACUUUCAAGUGUUAUAAAAAAAAAAGAAAAAGAACAAAGAAUCCCUUUAUUUCAUUAAAUGAUUUUUUCUGGUGGUUGUCAAGAAACAAAAGACCAAAAGAGCCUUUUUGUCUUUCUUUUUUAUUUUUUAAGUAUUGGAAUAAGUCUAAAGAAAAGAAAGUGCCUUAUUUUCCUUCAUGGUCAUUUAGUCAAGUGUCUCGUAAGAUCAGCUCCUCCCUCAGAAUACCAGUUAAUGCAUGUUACUCAGUCGCCCAGUAUGUGAAAGAAGAUAUGAGGGGAGACAAAUGAGUUGAUGGUUUGAAUUAUAUGAUUUUUGCCACGUUACCUUGAUACAAAUUUGCCAAAUCUGAUACUGUGAAAAAAUUUGAUAACUUUUCUAAUGCCUGACAAGUUUUAAAACAUCAUUCUUUUAAAAUCAUAAUUGAGUGCUUUUGGUUAUUGCACUAUUUAAUGUUAGCCCAAAGGAUUCUGAGAUAAAAAUUAUGUGUGAUCUGAACAUCAGUUUACAGACAAAAUUAGAGCUUUAUUUUAUUUGGAGAAAGAGGGGGUGUGGUGGACUUUUCCUUACUAAUUGGAGAUAAUAGUAUGCUUAGCAAACUUUUUCACAAAAAUGAACCUUUGUGAUUUUCAUUCUGGCAAACAGUGUCUUUAAAUGACCGAAAUUUAAUCAGACUUCUUUCUACCAUCUCUUUGCUGGUUUUAAUAACCUAAGCUACCCUCCCCACUCCACCCCACCCCCACACACCUUCUUUUCUUUAAAAGAUUGUGAAAAACUCACAUCAUUGUGCAUAUUAAUACUCAACUACAUGUGAGUUUCAGCUUCCAGUUUCUCUUGAAGUUCAGUUAAUUUUGUAGUGGAAGCGAUUUAUGCACAGAGCCUACAUCUAAACACUUAAGUAAAUAAUCAUUAACUGCUCGGUACCAGAUGUGGCAAAUAUUAAGUGGCAGUGGAUUCCCAGCUCAUCAACUCGUUCCCUCUUACAUACCUUCACAGCUUCACAGUCAAAGGUCAGCAGUAAGCUCAGUAAGCACCUUCCUGGUGCCCUCCUCCAUCAUCUUGUCUCACUUGGAAACGUUUUCAGUUUAUUUACUAUGCAAUAGACAUUCAUUGUUUUGUAUUCAGCUAGCUUUGGUUUAAUGUGCCACUGCUUUGUCUUUCUGUUACACAUACAGUUGUUUUGAUUUAUUUACAAUAUAUGCUGUGCCAUUUUGAUUUUUAUUUUGGUUGGUUGGUUGAAUAAAUUUGCGACACUCAAACACUUGAGGUGAUAGUAGUUUAAAACGAUACCAGUAUUUGAUCCAGUUUCAUCUCAACUAUGUUAUACCUGGACAUUUUAGAUGUUUAUCAAAGGUCUUUUAUGGGGAAGAAAAGUAAAUAUAUGAAAUAAAUGUGUGACAUUUAUGAGUAAUGUUGGCUUUGAACAAACUUUUGAAAACUUAGUUGACAAAAUUUUGGAUCAACUGAAAAAAAAGCAUGACUUUUGAAAUCUCUGAAUGCCUUGGUUCUCAGUAUUAUCAUUCUUUAUUGAAUUUAUUUCUUAUUAAAAUACGUAGUUUUUAAGACUUUUUUUCUGACAGUAUUAUGUAAUUUUUUAGCGUGGGUAGAUGGGAGUGUCGCUUGUAUGUUACCGUACAGCUGACAUGUAUUUUUGUCUAUUCUUUAUUAUCUUAGUAGUUUCAUGCUAUGUAUGUACCAUAACCAACCUAUUGCCUAUGAGAAACAUGUAAGAUAAUGUAUUUACAGCCAUUGUUACAAGUUUAUAAUGUAUUUUUCUAUCUUGUUUUAUAUGUAUGUUAUAUAACAUUCAAAAAGAAUUUUUUUCUUGAUUGAGAAAAGGAUACAAAAUGCAAAAUCCACAAUUUUGAUAACUGAAAAUUGCCAAUUGUUUUGCAGUACUUUAUUAUAUUGGGUGUCUUGUCUUUCUUGGGCUUUUAGUUAGCUAAUGAAUGAAUACGUUAGACACUUUUGGGUUUUAGUUGGGAUUUUACAUAGCUUGCAUUUUAAUUCUUUGGUUCUUUGCUGUUUCUAUUAACCCAUAGCAUUAUUUUAAUAAAUGUUAUAAUACCAACCUACUAACUCUGGACUAUGUCUGUUUAUUAACCUUUACAUGUUUAAUUAAAAUAAACAAAUAAAGACAAAAGAAUGUAAAGUCUUGAGUUACUGGACUAACCCUGAAGAACGUGACCACAGAUAACAUAGCGUGACUUGUUUUUAUGUUGUUUGUCAGCUGACAAUUCCGCACACUACUGUUAAAAUGGCUUUGGUUAUUCUGGCCUUUUACCUUGGGGGUUACGUGCCAGUAGAAAUGGGAACAAAGUAGCGUUGGUUUGAGGCAUCCUUCUAGUCUUGCCACUUGCCUUUCAGCCUCUGCAUUACUAAUUCCACACUUUAUUUUUCCUUCUCCAAAAUAAUCACUGUCUGCUCACAGCAUAAAGAGUAAAGAGAUUCAUUGUAAUGAUAAACCCCAAGAAACCAGUUUGAUUCUUUGUUGAACCAUUUCUUUUAAUUUUUGUAAAUAGGUAAUUUUAUGGUUGCAUUAUAAAGCAAAGAAUCUCACGAUGUUUUACCUUUAUUCAGAUUUGUGUUUUAAUUGGACAUUUUCCCUAUCUAAAGUGUUCAGUUGUUUUAGCCAACUGCUCCUGUUAGGGUGGCUCCGCACAGAUAAAGCCAAAGGUAGAGUGGCUCUGUUUCUCAUGACAGUCGAGGGUAAGCCAUUACGACGACACUGCACCCUACUUCUCCUCACAUGUCCUUCAGUAAGAGAUCAGACAGCAUUGCUGAGUUUUCCUCAGAUGUUCGUUCUCUCUCACCUCUUCCAAAACACAGUCAUAAUAUAGCGUUAGGACAAGAAGUGUAAAGGAGAAUAAAACUGCAUUUGAAAAGUUAUAUAUCAUUAAUUUCUUGUGUGCAAGUAAAUGUAAGAAGAUUUAUUAAAUAAUCUUCAUGCUUUUCUUGGCUGUAACCUAGGUAAAUUGACUUCUACUUACAAAUUCUUUAGUUUAACUCUUGAGGUGCCUUUUUAUUUCACAGAUAGUAGUAAUUUCCUUUUCUGUGAAACAGUUCUCCUAGAUAAUAAGAAAUUCACAGGAUGAAUUUUUGCAAUUGUAAAUAAUGGCUUAUUUUUGUAAAUUACCUCUUAUUUAUUUUAAAGUUCUAAAAUUUGAGGCUGAAAUGAGUCACAUGUUAUAGAAGACGUAACUAUACCAAUAUGCUAUUAACCAGUCAGACUGUCAAAGUAUUCCCAUAUGAUAUUUAUAUAUUCUCAUAGUGUAUAUGUAUACAAAAUACACAGAGUAGUGAUAACAGCUUAUUUAAUCGUUAUUGAGAUGGUCAUUUGCUUUGAACAGAGUUGUUUCUCUGUUGCAGGGGAUGUAUUAUUAGGUAGACAGAGCUUUAAUAUGCUACUAUCUGUAAAAGUUCUCACUGCCAUACAGUUCGUAUGUUACUCUGUAAAGAUUUGAAGAUGUCUGUUAAGCUGCUAAUAUGUAAGUCGUCAUGGUACCAUGUCACUUAAAUUGAUGAUGAAUUUCUAUGCAAUUUACUACACAUUCUCUGAAGCCUAUGAAUGCAGUCUCAUCUCAUUUGCAGUUAAGGGUACUUUAGGUAUAAUUAUGUCAUAUUGUCACCUCUGUUGGCAAAGUUGUAAAACUGUUUUUAAAAGGUGAAAAUAAUAUUACGAAUCCCAUUUUUAUACAGGCUGUAGUAGCAUUAAACAUGAAACUACCAAAUUCUUAGAAUGAUAAAUGCUGGAGUCAGUUUAUUGUUUCAUACUAUUAUUUGGCUAAACAGUUGCAAGUUAAGCUUUCAGUUGAGAAGCUGCUGAAAUUAAUGCACUUAGUAGUUAAGCGUUUUUUUCCUUAGGCAAAAUGUCAAGAAAAAUGUAGUGUGAAAGAAGAUAUUCACAUAGGCCUCAGUGCAGUGGCUCUCAGUACUGCAGAGCUCACCUAGAGGGGCAAGCGAAGUGCCCCGUCCUUGAAGCCAGGAGGAGCGUAGUGAACAUGAGGUAGGUGGGUGGGUAAGGGUUUCUAGAUAAAUACUAGAUAGGUACAAAGGAUCUAAAUUUUCUAGGGUACUGAAAGCAGGCAAUGGAUUUAAAUGAAAUUGCCCGUUACCAAAUCAAGAAUCUUCUUAACUGGUGAAGUCUAAUUUUAUAUCUUAUAUAUGACAGUCUAAGUUUCUCCAGUUUUGGAGAGUUUUUUGUGUGCUUGUUUAGGAUAAGAUGUCUGUCUUUAUUCUUUGAUAACAAUUAGCUAUCAUAAUAUUUCCAGAAAGUGAUUUUUAGUAGAAUGAAAUGUAUUGCUAAAUUAUAAUUCAUUAUUUAAUAGCAAAAAUUACUCUCAGAAAACUUUUUGGACUUGCACCCUUUCUAAGUACAUAAAGUAAUUUUUUUAACAUUUCACAAAUUUCUUAAUACAUUUAUUUUAAAUGGAAGAAAAUUCAUUUUAUAGAUAACACUUUUAGAAAUAUUCGUAUGGUACACACAUGUAAUUUUUUAUCUGGUUUCUUUAGUAUAAAAUUGUCUAAAUUGGAAUGCCCUUGUUAUGAAGAGAUGACAGACUUAUCUGCAUAGCUGGUGCUCAAUGCUGAAUCAAACUGGUGUUCACCUAAGCAUAGUACUUCCCUUUCUGUGUUUCUGCUGCACUAAUUGCCAGGGUGGGAGAGAGAGGGGAAGAAUUCUUUCUCGGUAGAAGUGGAUGGUAGGUGCAGCAAAUAACACUACGUUGAUAUUGCAAUGCUUAAGAUUUUGCUGUCCCUUGUUGACAAAAGACACCACGUUGUAGAAAAAGCUUAGCUCCCAGGGUAAAAAAUUGUAUCUUUUUAAAAAUGCUAUUAUUGAGAAAUUUUGGUUACCAAAUACAUCUUUGAUGGUUUAUAUUGUAGUGUGUAUAAAACAUUUAGAAUUUUAUUUGUGGAGAUUGUAUAUAUAGAGAAGAGUUGGAAUAGGGCUUCCCAGAUCACCUGUGAAUGGAGAACCGCGUAUGACUGUACAUGAAGUGCAAUAAACCAACUGGAAAAGUGCAUGUGCUUCAUCCUCUCAAGCUGCCUGCAGCUGAAGAUGCUGCUUAUGGGCCCCCAUAAAACCACGUAUAGAUAUCAGGAUAAAAAGUACACAUCUUCAUUUAAAAUUUUUAUUGACGCUUUUAACACCGUUUAAAAGAAAAUAGAAAAAUCUGACAUCCUGGAACUCUUAAUAUCUUUGGAAGAAGAUCCUAAGAUUUGCCCUGAUUUCAGUGAUUAAAAACGGACUCAGUGAA